rnacentral:lncRNA from 1 species
UGGUGAAUUAUAAAUUUAGUUAAUUAUAUUUGAAGUCCAUAUUUAAUAAAUAAAAUUAGUAUUAUGAAAAUCAAACUGAACCGGCCUGUCGAAUUAGAGAAAGUCUACAUUGCAAUAUUUACGCCACUUCAUUUAUACCGAGCUAAUUACAUUUAUCCAUUUGGGAGCAAAAUAUAAUAAAAAUAUUUUUCUGAUAAUUAUGAUGGGAUGGGUGAAUUCAAGAAAAAGAAUCUGAUUAGUUGGAAAAGCUGCAUCAGCAAUAUAACUAGUACAUUCUAGACUUUUUUGUAUUGUAACUCCGCGUGACAAGUCCAAACAUUGAUUUAUCUGUAACCAUUUUAUCUUUGCAUAGAUCAACUGUUUUAUUCCAAAUAGGAUUUUUUUUUUUGAAUUAUUUCAUAGAUAACCUUUUAGGGAUAUAUAAUUUUAUCAAUAUUCCUUUGAAAUACCCUUUUAGGGAUGUAUGGUGCUAGGCUAGCACUGCCCACAUUCAUAGGAGCCAAAUUGGCGCAUAUCUCAGUAUGUGCCGUGUCUGUGCCGGAUUCAUGCGAGUUGAUAAAUUUUUUACUUUUAUUAAGAUUUAUAAAAUUUUUAUUUUUAAAAAUUUAAAAAAUGGAAAUAUUUUUUAGUUUUUUUAACUGUAAGUUAGAUAUUAUGGUUACAAAAGUAAAUUUUUUUAAAUUUUAAAUUUAAUAUUUUUAAAAAAAUUUUAAAAUAAAAUUUAAAAAUAUUUGGGAAAAAAAUUAAAAAUAGGGAAAACUUCAAAAACCCUCCUUGUGGUUUCAAUUUUUUUCACUUUAAUACCUUGUGGUUUAAAAUGUAUCAAGUUAGUACCCUUUGGUUUCUUACUUUAUCACUUUAGUACCAUGUAGUUUAAAGUGUAUUAAGUUAGUACCCUGUGGUUUUAAUUUUGUAUUAAGUUAGCACUCUGCGGUUUUUUAAAUCACAGGGUACUAAAGUGAUAAAGUGUGACACCACAGGGUACUAAAGAAAUAAAGUGCAAAACCACAUAGUACUAACUUGAUACACUUUAAACCACAGGGUACUAAAGUGAUAGAGUGCAAAACCACAGGGUACUAACUUGAUAUACUUUAAACCACAGGUGCUUACUAAAAUGAAAAAGUGUGAAACCAUAGGGGGGUUUUUGAAGUUUUUCCUUAAAAAUAU